CCCACCCCACACUCAUGCCCCGCCACAGGCGCUGAGAGCUGGCACCCAACUUCUGGAAGUUGGAAGGAUGAACAAUUUUCCUACCAUGGAGGCUAAUCACUAAGUUGAAUGUCGCUCAAAGAAAAAGCAGCCAGCCACAGAACAGAGACAAAGAGACACCGUCAAGAUCGGUCAAAGUCCUGACACGCCCAGUCCUGAGGCCAUUCGCUUCUUCACCUGCACGCUCGGAGUCGGAGGGUGGAAUCGGCCUGGGAGCCCCCAUUCAACUGCAGCACCCAGGCCACGCGUCAGGCGAGGGUCGUUCUGAAUGUAGGUGGAGAUGGGGCCUGGAGAAGGAACGGUUUAAAAAGAAGGGAAACAUUCAUUAUGAGAAUGGCUGGGCACAUGUUGAUAAGAGGAGUGAAACCUGUACCAACCAACAUCGUACUGAAAGCCAGUAAUUCAGAAUAUGCUACUGGCAAGCUGAAAAUGUGUGUUUCCACCUGAAUUUUCUUCACUGUAUGUGAUGUGAGGAGGCAAUAUUUGCCACAAGAACAUUAUGAACAUCAACAACAUGGAUGGAUCUAGAGGAUAUUGUGCUAAGUGAAAGAAGUCAGACUGAGAAAGACAAAUACCACGUGACAUCAUUUAUAUGUGGAAUCUAAAGAACAAAAUAAACGAA